GGGUUGUGAGGUUAAGCGACUAAGCGUACACGGUGGAUGCCCUGGCAGUCAGAGGCGAUGAAGGACGUGCUAAUCUGCGAUAAGCGUCGGUAAGGUGAUAUGAACCGUUAUAACCGGCGAUUUCCGAAUGGGGAAACCCAGUGUGAUUCGUCACACUAUCAUUAACUGAAUCCAUAGGUUAAUGAGGCGAACCGGGGGAACUGAAACAUCUAAGUACCCCGAGGAAAAGAAAUCAACCGAGAUUCCCCCAGUAGCGGCGAGCGAACGGGGAGGAGCCCAGAGCCUGAAUCAGUGUGUGUGUUAGUGGAAGCGUCUGGAAAGGCGCGCGAUACAGGGUGACAGCCCCGUACACAAAAAUGCACAUGCUGUGAGCUCGAUGAGUAGGGCGGGACACGUGGUAUCCUGUCUGAAUAUGGGGGGACCAUCCUCCAAGGCUAAAUACUCCUGACUGACCGAUAGUGAACCAGUACCGUGAGGGAAAGGCGAAAAGAACCCCGGCGAGGGGAGUGAAAAAGAACCUGAAACCGUGUACGUACAAGCAGUGGGAGCACGCUUAGGCGUGUGACUGCGUACCUUUUGUAUAAUGGGUCAGCGACUUAUAUUCUGUAGCAAGGUUAACCGAAUAGGGGAGCCGAAGGGAAACCGAGUCUUAACUGGGCGUUAAGUUGCAGGGUAUAGACCCGAAACCCGGUGAUCUAGCCAUGGGCAGGUUGAAGGUUGGGUAACACUAACUGGAGGACCGAACCGACUAAUGUUGAAAAAUUAGCGGAUGACUUGUGGCUGGGGGUGAAAGGCCAAUCAAACCGGGAGAUAGCUGGUUCUCCCCGAAAGCUAUUUAGGUAGCGCCUCGUGAAUUCAUCUCCGGGGGUAGAGCACUGUUUCGGCAAGGGGGUCAUCCCGACUUACCAACCCGAUGCAAACUGCGAAUACCGGAGAAUGUUAUCACGGGAGACACACGGCGGGUGCUAACGUCCGUCGUGAAGAGGGAAACAACCCAGACCGCCAGCUAAGGUCCCAAAGUCAUGGUUAAGUGGGAAACGAUGUGGGAAGGCCCAGACAGCCAGGAUGUUGGCUUAGAAGCAGCCAUCAUUUAAAGAAAGCGUAAUAGCUCACUGGUCGAGUCGGCCUGCGCGGAAGAUGUAACGGGGCUAAACCAUGCACCGAAGCUGCGGCAGCGACGCUGAUGCGUUGUUGGGUAGGGGAGCGUUCUGUAAGCCUGUGAAGGUGUGCUGUGAGGCAUGCUGGAGGUAUCAGAAGUGCGAAUGCUGACAUAAGUAACGAUAAAGCGGGUGAAAAGCCCGCUCGCCGGAAGACCAAGGGUUCCUGUCCAACGUUAAUCGGGGCAGGGUGAGUCGACCCCUAAGGCGAGGCCGAAAGGCGUAGUCGAUGGGAAACAGGUUAAUAUUCCUGUACUUGGUGUUACUGCGAAGGGGGGACGGAGAAGGCUAUGUUGGCCGGGCGACGGUUGUCCCGGUUUAAGCGUGUAGGCUGGUUUUCCAGGCAAAUCCGGAAAACUAAGGCUGAGGCGUGAUGACGAGGCACUACGGUGCUGAAGCAACAAAUGCCCUGCUUCCAGGAAAAGCCUCUAAGCAUCAGGUAACAUCAAAUCGUACCCCAAACCGACACAGGUGGUCAGGUAGAGAAUACCAAGGCGCUUGAGAGAACUCGGGUGAAGGAACUAGGCAAAAUGGUGCCGUAACUUCGGGAGAAGGCACGCUGAUAUGUAGGUGAAGUCCCUCGCGGAUGGAGCUGAAAUCAGUCGAAGAUACCAGCUGGCUGCAACUGUUUAUUAAAAACACAGCACUGUGCAAACACGAAAGUGGACGUAUACGGUGUGACGCCUGCCCGGUGCCGGAAGGUUAAUUGAUGGGGUCAGCGCAAGCGAAGCUCUUGAUCGAAGCCCCGGUAAACGGCGGCCGUAACUAUAACGGUCCUAAGGUAGCGAAAUUCCUUGUCGGGUAAGUUCCGACCUGCACGAAUGGCGUAAUGAUGGCCAGGCUGUCUCCACCCGAGACUCAGUGAAAUUGAACUCGCUGUGAAGAUGCAGUGUACCCGCGGCAAGACGGAAAGACCCCGUGAACCUUUACUAUAGCUUGACACUGAACAUUGAGCCUUGAUGUGUAGGAUAGGUGGGAGGCUUUGAAGUGUGGACGCCAGUCUGCAUGGAGCCGACCUUGAAAUACCACCCUUUAAUGUUUGAUGUUCUAACGUUGACCCGUAAUCCGGGUUGCGGACAGUGUCUGGUGGGUAGUUUGACUGGGGCGGUCUCCUCCUAAAGAGUAACGGAGGAGCACGAAGGUUGGCUAAUCCUGGUCGGACAUCAGGAGGUUAGUGCAAUGGCAUAAGCCAGCUUGACUGCGAGCGUGACGGCGCGAGCAGGUGCGAAAGCAGGUCAUAGUGAUCCGGUGGUUCUGAAUGGAAGGGCCAUCGCUCAACGGAUAAAAGGUACUCCGGGGAUAACAGGCUGAUACCGCCCAAGAGUUCAUAUCGACGGCGGUGUUUGGCACCUCGAUGUCGGCUCAUCACAUCCUGGGGCUGAAGUAGGUCCCAAGGGUAUGGCUGUUCGCCAUUUAAAGUGGUACGCGAGCUGGGUUUAGAACGUCGUGAGACAGUUCGGUCCCUAUCUGCCGUGGGCGCUGGAGAACUGAGGGGGGCUGCUCCUAGUACGAGAGGACCGGAGUGGACGCAUCACUGGUGUUCGGGUUGUCAUGCCAAUGGCACUGCCCGGUAGCUAAAUGCGGAAGAGAUAAGUGCUGAAAGCAUCUAAGCACGAAACUUGCCCCGAGAUGAGUUCUCCCUGACUCCUUGAGAGUCCUGAAGGAACGUUGAAGACGACGACGUUGAUAGGCCGG
rnacentral:rRNA from 1 species